GAUGAACGCUGGCGGCGUGCCUAAUACAUGCAAGUCGAGCGAAUGGAUUAAGAGCUUGCUCUUAUGAAGUUAGCGGCGGACGGGUGAGUAACACGGGGGAAACCCGCCCAUAAGACUGGGAUAACUCCGGGAAACCGGGGCUAAUACCGGAUAACAUUUUGAGCCGCAUGGUUCGAAAUUGAAAGGCGGAUUCGGCUGUCACUUAUGGAUGGACCCGCGUCGCAUUAGCUAGUUGGUGAGGUAACGGCGCACCAAGGCAACGAUGCGUAGCCGAGCUGAUAGUGUGGUCGGCUGCGCUGUGACUUUGACGCGGCCGAGACUGCUUCCGGAGGCAGCAUUAGGGAAUCUUCCGCAAUGGACUAAAGUCUGACGGGGCAACGCCGCGGGAGUGAUGUGGGCUUUCGCGUCGUAAAACUCUGUUGUUAGGGAAGAACAAGUGCUAAUUGAAUAAGCUGGCACCUUGACGCUACCUAACCAGAAAGCGUCGGCUAACUACCUGCCAGCCGCCGCGGUAA
rnacentral:rRNA from 1 species